rnacentral:rRNA from 1 species
AAUCAACGCUGGCGGCGUGCCUCAGACAUGCAAGUCGAACGAUUAAAGCUCUCCUCGGAGAGUGUAUAGAGUGGCGCACGGGUGAGUAACACGUAAGUAAUCUACCUUUGAGUGGGGAAUAACAGUCGGAAACGGCUGCUAAUACCGCAUAACGCAGCGGCACCGCAAGGUGACAGUUGUUAAAGGAGCAAUCCGCUUAAAGAGGAGCUUGCGGCAGAUUAGCUUGUUGGUAAGGUAACGGCUUACCAAGGCUACGAUCUGUAUCCGGUCUAAGAGGACGGUCGGACACACUGACACUGAAUAACGGGUCAGACUCCUACGGGAGGCAGCAGUCGGGAAUUUUGGGCAAUGGGCGAAAGCCUGACCCAGCAACGCCGCGUGAAGGAUGAAGUAUUUCGGUAUGUAAACUUCGAAAGAAUA